UACGAAGGGGGCUAGCGUUGCUCGGAAUCACUGGGCGUAAAGUGCACGUAGGCGGCUCUUUAAGUCAGGGGUGAAAUCCUGGAGCUCAACUCCAGAACUGCCUUUGAUACUGAGGAUCUUGAGUCCGGGAGAGGUGAGUGGAACUCCGAGUGUAGAGGUGAAAUUCGUAGAUAUUCGGAAGAACACCAGUGGCGAAGGCGGCUCACUGGCCCGGUACUGACGCUGAGGUGCGAAAGCGUGGGGAGCAAACAGG
rnacentral:rRNA from 1 species